UUGUGUACGUGUUGAUGCUUCACAGCCCAACAUUCUGUGCCAUACAGCAUCGCCAGCCUUAUUGCCGUCCUAUAAAAUUUUCCCUUGAGCUUCAGUGGCAUACGGCGGUCACACAACACGCCGGAUGCACUCUUCCACUUCAUCCAUUCAGCUUGUAUUCUAUGGUUGAGAUCUCCAUCUAAUUCUCCGUUCUUUUGCAAGAUAGAUCAUAGGUAACGAAAACGAUCGCUCUUUGGUAUUUCUUGAUCUCUGAUCCUCACCCCUAACUCGUUUUGGCUUCCAUUUGCACUGAACUUGCACUCCAUAUAUUCUGUCUUUGAUCGGCUUAGGCGAAGACCUUUAGAUUCCA
rnacentral:lncRNA from 1 species